rnacentral:lncRNA from 1 species
AAAUUUCUUUCAUCAGUCUCCCUCGGAAAACGUUUCCCAAAUCCUCACAUUUUAAGUCAUUAGCAAACCGCCGUCCCAAAACGUUGCUUAAUUACGCUCCCAUCUACAGUUACGGUGGCGAAUAACUACUCCGACGACUGGAUUCCGACUCCAGACUUCUCUUCAUUUCUCUCCCCCGAAGGUAAUCUCUCUCUCUCUAGCUCGCCGUGCCUGAAACGAGGAUUCUGUUCGGACUUUUUGAGUUGGAGUGACGGUACUUAAAACGAUGUUUCGUUUCCUAGUUUAGCGACGAUCGAUUUGCGGUAGACGCUUGCCUACGUUUGUGUUUAUUGAAAGAAUGCUUCUCCCCGAGAUCUCAGCUUCUGUUUUCGCUUUCCCACUUACCGCCGGCUCACCGUAUUUUGAAAACUUAGGUGUUCGAAAUCGGAGAGACGUUACUUGAGAAGAAGUUUAUGUUCCUAGUUUAGCAAUCAAUUUCCGGUUGAUGCUUCUUUACGAUUGUGUUUGUUUAGCAUAAUGCUUCAUCGUGAGACUUCAGCUUCUUUUUCUCUUUCUCGCUUGCCUUCGGCUCGCCAUGCCUGAAAACGCAGGUGUUCGGACUUUGGAUCGGAGACGGAACUUGAGAAGAAGUUUCCUAUAUCGUCGAUGAAAUUCCCGGUUGAUGCUUCUCUGGGUUUUCUGCGUGUUUUGUUUCGAAGAAUGCUUCCUCUCUGAGAUCUGGCUUAUCUUACUUGUUUAGUAAGGAAAGGAAGCUGAGACAAAGCAAUUACGGCCGCGAUUGUAGUUCCGUGUUCAUGUAUUUUUGCUGUUUCUCUGAAUAGUUCUGGUUUUGGAAACUGUUGCUUACAGAAACGUCAAAGUAGCGACUGGAUACAGCUAUAGCUUUGCUUGCGUGAUCUCUUUGUUUGUUUAUGGUUUAGUAAGGAUUGUUGUACCUGGAAAAUGAGUAUGCCUCUCUCUGCGAGUUAAUGGAGCUGUUAUGAAAGGGAACUCUACACCGGGGACUCUGGUAGUUUACCACCGUUUGUCUGGUUCAUCUGUUGACUUGAUGACUACAGUAUUUUACUUUUCUGUGACACAAAAUAUCUGCUCAUUGAUGGAGUUCUGCAUCUGUGGAUUCUUUACUGACAGCUUGAUUGUUAGAAAUGGAAGAUGCAGAUAGUGGUGUCGGAUUCUUAGAUGUUUUAUUACUCCAUAGUGUGCUUUGAUUUGGUAUAAUUUGUAUUCGUUUAUAGUAUAA